rnacentral:rRNA from 1 species
UAGGGAAUCUUCCACAAUGGGCGAAAGCCUGAUGGAGCAACGCCGCGUGUGUGAUGAAGGGUUUCGGCUCGUAAAACACUGUUGUAAGAGAAGAAUGACAUUGAGAGUAACUGUUCAAUGUGUGACGGUAUCUUACCAGAAAGGAACGGCUAAAUACGUGCCAGCAGCCGCGGUAAUACGUAUGUUCCAAGCGUUAUCCGGAUUUAUUGGGCGUAAAGCGAGCGCAGACGGUUAUUUAAGUCUUAAGUGAAAGCCCUCAGCUCAACUGAGGAAUUGCUUUCGAAACUGGAUGACGUGAGUGCAGUAGAGGGAAGUGGAAAUCCAUGUGUAGCGGUAAAAUGCGUAGAUAUAUGGGAGUACACCAGUGGCGAAGGCGGCUUUCUGGACUGUAACUGACGUUGAGGCUCGAAAGUGUGGGUAGCAAACAGG